rfam:Ixodes scapularis strain Wikel colony gcontig_1107729071688, whole genome shotgun sequence.
UCCUGGUUAGCUCAGUUGGUAGAGCACUCCUCUGGAAAUGGAGAGGUCCCUGGUUCGAUACCAGGACCAGGCG